rnacentral:lncRNA from 1 species
AUGGAGAAAAGCAGCGAUGAGCAGUGUUGCAUUCAUCAAGGUCUCGAGGAGAACGAAGAUAGGGUUUUCCCCCGACAACACCACCAGAGAGAGAGGGACAUCUCGACAGCGCUCCUAAAAAGGCCAUCCUCCGUCAGCGCGAGGACAUUGCUGAACCAAUAUCGAUCUGCAUGCUCCAUUGCUCUGCCACAGGCCAUCCUCCGUCAGUGCGAGGACAUUGCUGAACCAAUGCCACAUGCCAUCCUCCGUCAGCGCGAGGACAUUGCUGAACCAACGCCCCUCGUCUCUGUCAACGCGAGGACAUCGCUCAACCAAUGCCCCUCGCCGGUCAGCUGCCGCAGGCCUCUGCGGCACACCACCUUCACUGGCCUCCCUGAUGCCACCACGUCCUCCCACGUCGUCGGUUGGGCAACCUCCCUGCUAUCGCCUGCACUGACCUCCCAAUGCUAUCGGCUGGACCGUGCAUAAAACUUAGGCC